CGGACCCAUGUCGGAUCCCUGUACGCGGACGCGCCUUUCACAGAGGAUGGCUCCGCCCACUGUCAAACAGCGGAUCCUGAGCGGACCCAUUUCGGAUACCUGGAUGCGGACGCGCCUUUCACAGAGGAUGGCUCCGCCCACUUAUAACGGUUGAACUUAACAGCUAUCGCAGACGCUUAAAGAACCGGAGAAGGUCAAGACAUCAUCGGAGAUUUUCUGUGCUUUUUUGACUUUGGGCUGAAUCCUCUUGACUGACUUCAACUUUUCUGCCAUUGCCUCCUCUGCUGGGUUUGAUUGAUCAAGAUGAGUUUUCAUCUCAUUAAGUUUGCCAACGGGGACAUUGCUGUGGUCCCGGAAAAUUGGUGUGAUGACGGGAUGGUGUACUGGCCAAAAUAUAAAAACACCGAACGUGCCAAAAGGGCAGCGGCCAACAGUGAGACACCAGAGUCAAACUGGCCAAAAUAUGACAUCAUGGUCAUCAGAACUUGUGGUAUGCCAAUUCAUAAAACUGUAGUUUAAAGAAAAUGUGAUGGUUUCUUCUCCUUCUGCUUGGAAUAACAUAUUCUGUCUAUGUUGUGAAAAUUGUCUUGCAUUGUUUAAAAUGUUCCUUUAAUUUGUGGUAUGAGCAGCAGUGCUGAGUAUGUAGGUUGCGCCCAAGAAUAAUGUACCAAACAGCACUCUGCCAUUGACUCUCUGACUCUGACUCUCAGCGCUCUGCCAUUGUCCCUGAUUGGCAUCGCCUGGGAAUACCAAAAGCUCAAACUAAGUCAAUGGCAGAAUGCUG